UGGGGAAUAUUGGACAAUGGGGGGAACCCUGAUCCAGCCAUGCCGCGUGUGUGAAGAAGGCCUUAUGGUUGUAAAGCACUUUAAGCGAGGAGGAGGGUACUGGUAUUAAUACUACCAGGUACUGGACGUUACUCGCAGAAUAAGCACCGGCUAACUCUGUGCCAGCAGCCGCGGUAAUACAGAGGGUGCGAGUGUUAAUCGGAUUUACUGGGCGUAAAGCGUGCGUAGGCGGCUAAUUGAGUCGGAUGUGAAAUCCCCGAGCUUAACUUGGGAAUUGCAUUCGAUACUGGUUAGCUAGAGUGUGGGAGAGGAUGGUAGAAUUCCAGGUGUAGCGGUGAAAUGCGUAGAGAUCUGGAGGAAUACCGAUGGCGAAGGCAGCCAUCUGGCCUAACACUGACGCUGAGGUACGAAAGCAUGGGGAGCAAACAGG
rnacentral:rRNA from 1 species